rnacentral:tRNA from 1 species
GCGGGCAUAGCUCAGUGGUAGAGCACAACCUUGCCAAGGUUGGGGUCGAGAGUUCGAAUCUCUUUGCCCGCU